GUUACACUUGGAGCUCUCUGGGACCAUGAUGUUCCUGAAGCAGAAUCAUCAAGCCAAGUGCACAAAGACAGGAAUACCUGGAUUUUCUUUCUGUCAGUGAACUCAAUCCCUAGACACUCUGUUAUCUGCAUGAAGGGAAACGGCAAAAGGUUGUUGGUUUAACACCCAGGAGUCAGAUCUGACGGUGAUGGGAGCUGCAGUUUUACAGAAGCCUUGGAAAGAAGAAACUACUUGAAGGAGAAAUGGAUUGGGAGAGCAGGCUGAAGGGAUUUCAUCAAAGGUCAAAAUCCACCAAGCUGGCACUCCCUGCCCCCUCCCUCAGCUACCCAGCUUCUGCUCCUUCUGUCUUCACAAAGAAACAAAUAAAUCUUGCAGGUGCUGCAGAAGCAGAGA